CGGGUGAGUAACACGUGGGCAACGUACCCCCGACUCUGGGAUAGCAACGGGAAACCGUUGCUAAUACCGGAUGAUCCAUACCUACCGCAUGGCAGGUUUGGCAAAGUUUUUCGGUCAGGGAUCGGCCCGCGCUGUGUCAGCUUGUUGGUGGGGUAACGGCCUACCAAGGCUUUGACGCAUAGCUGGCGCGAGAGCGCGACCAGCCACACUGGGACUGAGACACGGCCCAG
rnacentral:rRNA from 1 species